GGAGCUUUACAAACCAGCACAGACAGCCCCCGUGUCAGGACAGGUGCUUUGUCUAACCAAGGAGGAAGAGGAUGCCUAGUUCAGGGCAGCAGGGUAGAGCACGGAACCUUGCCUAGAUGCAUCUUGCCAAGCCUGCCUAUGGGUCUGGAAAUCAGGGCAAGGCAAGAUUCCCACGUACAAAAUUAGAUCUUGGAAACAGAGAGAAGCUACCAACCUGGGAUGGCAGAGUGAUGACUGGAUUCUGGCAUUCAUCCUUGCACGAAGAGAAUAUUGGAGUUUCUAAAGAGUGUCUGAGACCGACCUUGUUGACAGUCCGCCAUGGCACUUCAACCCUACCACUUCAGGCGGAGGGUCUCCAUGGGGCACGUUCACAUGUGCAGGCCUUUUGUAACACUUUGUUGAGAGAAGUCUCAUCAUGUCUCCCAGAAUGAGGCCAAA